rnacentral:rRNA from 1 species
GAUAGGAAUUCCACGUGUAGCGGUGAAAUGCGUAGAGAUGUGGAGGAACACCAGUGGCGAAGGCGACUCUCUGGUCUGUAACUGACGCUGAGGAGCGAAAGCGUGGGGAGCGAACAGGAUUAGAUACCCUGGUAGUCCACGCCGUAAACGAUGAGUGCUAAGUGUUAGGGGGUUUCCGCCCCUUAGUGCUGCAGCUAACGCAUUAAGCACUCCGCCUGGGGAGUACGGUCGCAAGACUGAAACUCAAAGGAAUUGACGGGGGCCCGCACAAGCGGUGGAGCAUGUGGUUUAAUUCGAAGCAACGCGAAGAACCUUACCAGGUCUUGACAUCCUCUGACAAUCCUAGAGAUAGGACGUCCCCUUCGGGGGCAGAGUGACAGGUGGUGCAUGGUUGUCGUCAGCUCGUGUCGUGAGAUGUUGGGUUAAGUCCCGCAACGAGCGCAACCCUUGAUCUUAGUUGCCAGCAUUCAGUUGGGCACUCUAAGGUGACUGCCGGUGACAAACCGGAGGAAGGUGGGGAUGACGUCAAAUCAUCAUGCCCCUUAUGACCUGGGCUACACACGUGCUACAAUGGGCAGAACAAAGGGCAGCGAAACCGCGAGGUUAAGCCAAUCCCACAAAUCUGUUCUCAGUUCGGAUCGCAGUCUGCAACUCGACUGCGUGAAGCUGGAAUCGCUAGUAAUCGCGGAUUCCAGCAGCCGCGGUAAUACGUUCCCGGGCCUUGUACACACCGCCCGUCACACCACGAGAGUUUGUAACACCCGAAGUCGGUGAGGUAACCUUUAUGGAGCCAGCCGCCGAAGGUGGGACAGAUA